GACGAACGCUGGCGGCGUGCUUAACACAUGCAAGUCGAGCGGGGUCCAACUUGUCGCAAGACAAGGGAAGGCCUAGCGGCGAACGGGUGAGUAACACGUGAGGAACCUGCCCCGAAGACUGGGAUAACACCGGGAAACCGGUGCUAAUACCGGAUGUCCACCGAGGAUCGCAUGGUCUUUGGUGGAAAUGGAUUCCGCUUCGGGAGGGCCUCGCGGCCUAUCAGCUUGUUGGCGGGGUAACGGCCCACCAAGGCGACGACGGGUAGGCUGGUCUGAGAGGACGGCCAGCCACACUGGGACUGAGACACGGCCCAGACUCCUACGGGAGGCAGCAGUGGGGAAUCUUGCUCAAU
rnacentral:rRNA from 1 species